AGUGAACGCUGGCGGUAGGCCUAACACAUGCAAGUCGAACGGCAGCACAGUAAGAGCUUGCUCUUACGGGUGGCGAGUGGCGGACGGGUGAGUAAUACAUCGGAAUCUACUUUUUCGUGGGGGUUAACGUAGGGAAACUUACGCUAAUACCGCAUACGACCUACGGGUGAAAUCAUGGGAUCUUCGGACCUUUCGCGAUUGAAUGAGCCGAUGUCGGAUUAGCUAGUUGGCGGGGUAAAGGCCCACCAAGGCGACGAUCCGUAGCUGGUCUGAGAGGAUGAUCAGAGAAACGGGAACUGAGACAGGGACAAGACGCCUACGGGAGGCAGCAGUGGGGAAUAUUGGACAAUGGGCGCAAGCCUGAUACAGCCAUACCGCGUGGGUGAAGAAGGCCUUCGGGUUGUAAAGACCUUUUGUUGGGAAAGAAAAGCAGCAGGUUAAUACCCCGCUGUAGUGACGGUAACCAAAGAAUAAGCACCGGCUAACUUCGUG
rnacentral:rRNA from 1 species